rnacentral:lncRNA from 1 species
GGAAAUACAGAAUAAUAAAAAUAUAUUACAUAUUAUAACAGCUUGCAGAACUGUGAUGUCAUGGUUUCACUCUCAAUACCAAAUCCUACAAUAGCUUAGCUUGCCUGUACAAGUUGCUUCAUGACAACAGCUGACAAAAGAAAAUACUCAAGAGAAACAAAUCAACCCUCACACAGCCUCCCGUUGACGGCAGGAUAAUUAUAAAUGCUAGCCUUCACAUCUCCGAGGAAACUCUUUUCUUCCAAUCUGUCUAAUUAGCUUGCUUGGCCUUUUCUUUUAGUCGAACGGAACAAACUCGAAUAGAUUUAGACCCUGUUGUGGAAGGGAUCCGGUCCAGAUGGGACUUUUCUUUUGCUUGACAUUUUAGGAUCAAAUGUCUUCGCCACAUUUGAAGAUUUCCUUGUGUUCACGCCCACUGUGCUGAUAGUCUUCAAACUGCGCCGACUCUGGGGUGCUUUUUCCUGAACUUCUUGCUCCCUCACGAAACCGAGCGCUACACUUACUAGACCAUGCUCUUUAUCCGGGUCCGAUGCUAAUAAGAAGAUGCAUGCGAGCAGUAUAAGGGCUCUGAUUAAGAUGAAGCCCAUGAUUGUGGUUUGCGGAAGGACAAGAAAUAACAGCACAAGAACUACCUUCGUUUACUGCAAUAUCGGGAGCUUGGGUGAUUCGGAGACCCCCGGCCUUUUCUUUCCGUUCCAACUCUUAUAAAUAUAAGCCUUUGAUUCAUCAGCAGCGGAUUUGAUAAUGCGCUUAAUAGCAUAAAGUACGGAGGGGCCCCUAACAGCUAGAGUGAAUUCGGAUCAUUUAAAAAUCUUCGGCCUGGUAGGACGAAUUCUACGUUGAGGGUGUCGUCACUCC